rnacentral:rRNA from 1 species
AACGAACGCUGGCGGCGUGCUUAACACAUGCAAGUCGAACGCGAAAGGGACUUCGGUCCUGAGUAAAGUGGCGCACGGGUGAGUAACGCGUGGAUAAUCUACCCAAUGAUCUGGGAUAACAUCUCGAAAGGGGUGCUAAUACCGGAUAAGACCACGGGAUCUCUGGAUUCUGCGGUAAAAGGUGGGGACCUUCGGGCCUACCGUCAUCGGAUGAGUCCGCGUACCAUUAGCUAGUUGGUGAGGUAACGGCCCACCAAGGCUUCGAUGGAUAGCCGGCCUGAGAGGGUGUACGGCCACACUGGGACUGAGACACGGCCCAGACUCCUACGGGUGGCAG